AUUGAACGCUGGCGGUAGGCCUAACACAUGCAAGUCGAACGAGUGGCGGACGGGUGAGUCGUGUCUGGGCACCCCCCCGCUGGGGGGGGAGAACUAGUGGAAGAGGUAGAUCAUACCGACUACGAUCGGCUGUCCGCAGAUGGGAUUAGUUAGUAGGUUGGGUGACGGCUGACCAAGGCGACGAUCCCUAGCUGGUCUGAGAGGAUGACCAGCCACACUGGAACUGAGACACGGCCCAGACUCCUACGGGAGGCAGCAGUGGGGAAUAUUGCACAAUGGGCGCAAGCCUGAUGCAGCCAUGCCGCGUGUAUGAAGAAGGCCUUAGGGUUGUAAAGUACUUUCAGCGAGGAGGCGUUACUCGCAGAAGAAGCACCGGCUAACUCCGUGCCAGCAGCCGCGGUAAUAC
rnacentral:rRNA from 1 species